rnacentral:lncRNA from 1 species
UGGAGGAAAUGCUAAACUGGAUGAGGGGUUACCAUCACUCUGUAAGGGCAACUGGAGUUCAAAGUUUCAAAGGAGCAGCUGUACCAAACUGUCAAGAUCAAACAGAAAAGAGGAAACAUACUCCUGCAUCUUCUUUUCAUGUAAAAGAGGAACUCUAUCAACUUGUCAAUCUUGAUUAGUAGGGACUGGUGUGUAUAUGCCAUAAUGGAAGUUUUCAAAGCGUUACAUCAAUGCAAGCUCUUAACACUUUGCUGUAGUCUGUUUUAAAAUUCUUACCAGCAAAACAAGCCUCAUCUCCUCAAUUGUGGUGAUGUUAAGAUGAUGGGAUAUUAUUAUGCAUAGCCUUGUAAUCUGAUGUUCUCAUUAUACAUGUAAACCAUGUGGUCUCAUUUAAAUCGGUGGAACAGAGAACUUACAUCUUGUAGUUUUCUAUCUAUUAAUUUUUAGUGGCAUGUCAAUUUACAGGGAUAAGAAUCAAUCUCAUGUAACGAUACUUCAUACACUAAAUACAAAACAUGGCUUACUUGUUUUUGUCUUUCUUAUGUAAAACUAUGUUCAUGACAGUUCAGAUUAUGGAG